rnacentral:rRNA from 1 species
GACGAACGCUGGCGGCGUGCUUAACACAUGCAAGUCGAACGGUAAGGCCCCUUCGGGGGUACACGAGUGGCGAACGGGUGAGUAACACGUGGGUGAUCUGCCCUGCACUUCGGGAUAAGCCUGGGAAACUGGGUCUAAUACCGGAUAGGACCACGCUCUGCAUGGAGUGUGGUGGAAAGCUUUUGCGGUGUGGGAUGGGCCCGCGGCCUAUCAGCUUGUUGGUGGGGUGAUGGCCUACCAAGGCGACGACGGGUAGCCGGCCUGAGAGGGUGUCCGGCCAUACUGGGACUGAGAUACGGCCCAGACUCCUACGGGAGGCAGCAGUGGGGAAUAUUGCACAAUGGGCGCAAGCCUGAUGCAGCGACGCCGCGUGGGGGAUGACGGCCUUCGGGUUGUAAACCUCUUUCAGUACCGACGAAGCGCAAGUGACGGUAGGUACAGAAGAAGCACCGGCCAACUACGUG